rnacentral:tRNA from 1 species
CCUGGUGGCUCAGAUGGUAAAGAACCUGCCUGCAGUGCAGGAGACCCGGGUUCAAUCCCUGGGCCAGGA